GCCGGCGCGGUGGUGUGUGCCUGUAGUCCCAGCUACUUGGGAGGCUGAGGUGGGAAGAUCGCUUGGGUCCAGGAGUUCUGGGCUGUAGUGCACUAUGCCAAUCCCGUGUCCGCACUAAGUUCAGGAUCAAUACGGUGACCUUCCGGGAGCGGGGGACCACCAGGUUGCCUAAGGAGGGGUGAACUGGCUCAGGUUGGAAACGGAGCAGGUCAAAACUCCCGUGCUGAUCAUUAGUGGGAUGGCGCCUAUAAAUAGCCACUGCACUCCAGCCUGGACAACAUUGCCAGACUCUU
ensembl:misc_RNA Metazoa_SRP Metazoan signal recognition particle RNA